CCUACGGGUGGCAGCAGUGAGGAAUAUUGGUCAAUGGGCGGAAGCCUGAACCAGCCAAGUCGCGUGAGGGAAUAAGGCCCUACGGGUCGUAAACCUCUUUUGCCGGGGAGCAAGGGCGGGGCAGUGUCCCGGCCCGGAGAGUACCCGGAGAAAAAGCAUCGGGUAACUCCGUGCCAGCUGCCGCUGUAAUACGGAGGAUGCGAGGGUUAUACGGAUUUAGUUGGUUUAGAGGGUGCGUAGGCGGGCUUUUAAGUCAGCGGUAAAAAUUCGGGGCUCAAACCCGUCAGGCCGUUGACACUGGGGGCCGUGAGUGGGAGAGCAGAAGGCGGAAUGCGUGGUGUAGCGGUGAAAGGCAGAGAUAUCACGCAGAACCCCGAUUGCGAAGGCAGCCUUCCGGCGCCCUACUGACGCUGAGGCACGAAAGUGCGGGGAUCGAACAGGAUUAGAUACCCGAGUAGUC
rnacentral:rRNA from 1 species